UGCAUCCCGUGGAAUAGUUCAUGAAGUGCUCACAAGAUAUAACUAUCAGCAAUGGAAAACUCUAAUGAAAAGCUAUCUGAGGGGGGAAAAUUUGUGGGAAGUUGUGGUGAAUGGUUAUGCUUCGACACCCAUUGAUGCACAAAGAGACGCAAAGGCUCUGCAUAUUAUUCAACUAUCAUGUGCACCAAUAAUUUUCGAACAAAUUAAACACCUCCAAACCGCCCACGAAGCUUGGAAUCACUUGGCCGAAGUUUGCAGAUCUGAAGUCCAACCGCAUAUUCGACACGGUGUUGUAUCUGACAACGUUAGUGAGCACAAAGAUUUAUACAAGUUUGUGAAAAACGGUGAUUGGGAAGGCACGAGCUCAUACUUGAGGGAUCAACCGAAUGCCAUAUUUUGGGCUCCGCCUUCAGGUAGGACGGUUCUUCAUGUUGCAACAAUAGAAGGACAUAUGAAAAUUGUGGAGUGGUUAGUGUACUUAGGGAAGAAGCAAUUAGUAGAAAUGCAGGAUGAGGAUGGUAAUACUGCUCUUGCUCUUGCUGCUGGUUACACGGGAAACGUUAAUAUAGCAAGAUAUUUUGUAAAUGUGGAAGGUGGCUUAGAAUUGCUUGCUAUAGAGAACAAAGAGGGUGAGAUCCCUCUUCUUCUGGCUGCUAAUUCAGGACGCAAAAGAAUGACUCGUUACCUUCACUUUAGAACUUCUUUCGAUGUCAUUGAUAAGCAGUCUUCUGACAAUCGAGUUUUGCUUCUGGAACGAUGCAUCCAAGCGCAUAUAUUUGAUGUAGCUUUGGGAUUGCUUAAAUCUUACGGGGAACUGCCCAUUCAAUCCUUACGCGUCUUGCAAGAAUUGGCUCGAGUGCCUUCUGAAUAUUCACAGGCCAGCCGUUGGCAGACAAUAGUUU
rnacentral:sRNA from 1 species